GUUAACAUAGCUUACCCAAAGCAUAGCACUGAAAAUGCUAAGACGGUUUUACCUAUUAACA
rnacentral:tRNA from 1 species